UUAAAUUGAAGAGUUUGAUCAUGGCUCAGAUUGAACGCUGGCGGCAGGCCUAACACAUGCAAGUCGAACGGUAACAGGAAACAGCUUGCUGUUUCGCUGACGAGUGGCGGACGGGUGAGUAAUGUCUGGGAAACUGCCUGAUGGAGGGGGAUAACUACUGGAAACGGUAGCUAAUACCGCAUAACGUCGCAAGACCAAAGAGGGGGACCUUCGGGCCUCUUGCCAUCGGAUGUGCCCAGAUGGGAUUAGCUAGUAGGUGGGGUAACGGCUCACCUAGGCGACGAUCCCUAGCUGGUCUGAGAGGAUGACCAGCCACACUGGAACUGAGACACGGUCCAGACUCCUACGGGAGGCAGCAGUGGGGAAUAUUGCACAAUGGGCGCAAGCCUGAUGCAGCCAUGCCGCGUGUAUGAAGAAGGCCUUCGGGUUGUAAAGUACUUUCAGCGGGGAGGAAGGGAGU
rnacentral:rRNA from 1 species